UUCGCAUGCUGUCCAUACAGAUUAAAAUAAUACUGUUACAGAAGUGCAGUGCAGGUAGACAAUAAGGUGCCAGGUCAUUUUACAGGCAUAGCAUUUAAAGUUUUAAAAUGGAUGUCAGGCUGUCCCAGGAUUGGAUGUCCAUGUGAACAGGGGGCAUUAGGGUCGGUCAGUCAGCAAGCUUGGAAUGCGGGUCAUGUCAUCAGAAUCAGGUUUAAUAUCUCUAGCAUAUGUCAUGAAAUAUAUCGCAAUACAUAAUACUGGGAUAUAUAUAUAUUAAAAAUUAAAUUAAAUAAGCAGUGCAAAGAGAGAUUUUACAAAAGGGAGCGUCUAGUCUGGGGUUGAUACCAAAGAUCGAAACCCAAAGGUCAAUCGGACAUCCAGGUGUCGAAACCCAAUGGCCAAAACUUGGAGACUGGAAGCCUGUUCUGGAGUUGGAGGACUGUCCAUAUGUGUGAGGUACAUCGAGUUACUGCAGGGAGAAACAAGUCUCUGGUCAAGAGUAGAGAGGUCAUGUUGCAACUCCACAAAUCUCUGAGAGCACGAGAGAGAGCGAGGAGGAAAGGAAGCAGAAUAAUGCUUCAAGCAUUAUUGAGUAAGAAGGCAGGACAGAUACGCUCAGAAACCCUCG